rnacentral:rRNA from 1 species
UACAUAGGGGGCAAGCGUUGUCCGGAAUUACUGGGCGUAAAGGGCGCGUAGGCGGCCGCCUAAGUCAGACGUGAAAUCCCUCGGCUCAACCCGGGAACUGCGUCUGAUACUGGGUGGCUUGAAUUCGGGAGAGGGAUGCGGAAUUCCAGGUGUAGCGGUGAAAUGCGUAGAUAUCUGGAGGAACACCGGUGGCGAAGGCGGCGUUCUGGACUGCAACUGACACUGAGAAACGAAAGCCAGGGGAGCAAACGGG